AUGCUCUAUGUAGCCACCAUCGAGAAAAUCCGACACCAUCACGAUUCCGAGGAUGAAUCGUGGGGUUUUUUUUUCGUGUUUUCGGGCCCCGCGACGGCACCUCAGCCCCCGGAGCGAGCAGUGCGGGGCGGGGGAGGGUUCAGCCGAUCCUCGUUUCCUUUCAAAGCAGUUCUGGUCGCUCUAUCGCAGCAGAGGGCGAGGACGAAUCCCCGCGGGAGCUCCGCGCGGCACCGCGGUCCCUUCUCAGUCCGUCCCGGGGCGGUGGCACAGCGGCGGGCAGCGCUCCCGCGGUCCUUUCGGUCGCCGCCGGCCUCGGGCGGCCCCGCCUCAGUACGUGAACACCAGGUCGGAGAAGUUGGCUUCCAGCCAGUCGCCCGCGAUCAUCUCGCUCAGCUCCGGGGUGCAGUAGUCCGGGAACUCAAAGUGCGAGCCCGAGCCGGGCUCCAAGUUAAAAUCCAGGUCCCGGUCGAGCGCGGAGGAGCCGAAGCCGCCGAGGGACAUGCUCUCGAAGCCGGGGCUGGGGUUCAGGUCCAAGAGGUCGUCCUCGAACUCGUCGUCCGACGACGAGGAGCCGGCCGAGGAGGCGGAGGACGAGUGGGAGGACGCGGAGGAGGAUCGCGCCGUGGAGGGGGCGGGCGAAGCGGCUCUCGGGCCGGCGUAGCCGCGGUGCUCGGCGGGCGAACGGGCGCCCGGCGGCGAGGGGCAGUCCCCGUCGGGUCGCGCCGCGCCGCCCGCCUCCUCGUACAGGCUCAGCGGGUCGCCGGCCUCGGCCGCGCUACUCAGCGUGGGGCUGCCGGGCACGGCGCCGCCGGGCGAGCCCGAGGCGGCCGCCGCCGGCCCUCCGCCGCCGAAGAUGUAAACGCGCUUCAGCUUCCUCUCGGCCGCCGCUUUGCCGGGCGCCGCCGGCGCGCCCCUCGGCUUGUACAGCGCCUGGUGCUCGGGCGGCGGCGGCGGGGGGGGCGCGGCCGUCGGCUCGCCGGUUCCCGACGGCGAGGCCUUGCCGCCCGCCGCCGCCUUGCCGUGAGGCUUGGGGCCGGCGGGGGAGGGCCGCGGGCCGCCGCCACCGCCUCCCUUCUUCGGGGCGGGUUUGGCCGUGCCGCCGCCGGGGCCGCCGCCCGCGCUGCCCCCGCCGGGCCCGGCGCCGCCCCCGCCCCCGCCGGCGGCCCUGUCCGCCUUGUCCGCGGGCUUGGCAGAGCUGUUGCCCGACUUCACCUUCUUCCUGGGCCGGUACUUGUAGUCGGGGUAGUCCGCCAUGUGCUUGAGGCGCAGCCGCUCCGCCUCCCGGAUGAAGGGGAUCUUCUCGCUGUCCUUCAGCAGCUUCCAGCGCUUGCCCAGGCGCUUGGAGAUCUCCGCGUUGUGCAUGUCGGGCGACUGCUCCAUGAUCUUCCGCCGCUCGAUCUGCGACCACACCAUGAAGGCGUUCAUCGGUCGCUUGAUGUGCCCGCUGGGCGUCUUGCACCAGCUCGGGUCGUCCGCCUUGCCUCCCGUCGAGGCGGUGGAGCCGGGCGUAGGCGACGAGGCGAUGCCCAGCUCCAGCCCGACCCCGGCGGCCGAGGUCUCGGCGGCGGGCAGCGCCUCCGUGUUCUCCGCCGUGCCCGUCUGCUGCACCAUGGCUGCGGCCGCGGGGCUCGACUCGGCGGCGCGGGGCUGCGGGGGGCUCCGGGCCGGCCCCGGGGCAGCUUCCACUGCGGCGCCCGGCCCCGGCCGCGCCGCGCUGCCGCUCCGCGCGGACUUGCUGCCGGAGCCGCGCCGCAACGUGAGGCUCUGCUUUUGUCCUUAAACUGUUUCUUUCUUUCUUUUCUCUUUUUUUGGGGGGAGGUUUUUUUUGCUUUUUGCUUGGGAUUUGGUUCAGGUGGCGCCGCUCCGCCUCGCUCUCCCCUCAACGCCGCGCCCCCUCAGGGCAGCCGCUCCGCUCCGAGCCCCGCCGGCAGCCCCGGGCUGCGGGGGGUUGGGGGGGGAGGCGGCCCCCGGCUGCGGGCCGCGUGGUGA
ensembl:lncRNA